rnacentral:rRNA from 1 species
GAUGAACGCUGGCGGCGUGCCUAAUACAUGCCAGUCGAGCGAACAGACGAGGAGCUUGCUCCUCUGACGUUAGCGGCGGACGGGUGAGUAACACGUGGAUAACCUACCUAUAAGACUGGGAUAACUUCGGGAAACCGGAGCUAAUACCGGAUAAUAUAUUGAACCGCAUGGUUCAAUAGUGAAAGACGGUUUUGCUGUCACUUAUAGAUGGAUCCGCGCCGCAUUAGCUAGUUGGUAAGGUAACGGCUUACCAAGGCAACGAUGCGUAGCCGACCUGAGAGGGUGAUCGGCCACACUGGAACUGAGACACGGUCAAGACUACUACGGGAGGAAGCAGUAGGGAAUGUUCCGCAAUGGGCGAAAGCCUGACGGAGCAACGCCGCGUGAGUGAUGAAGGUCUUCGGAUCGUAAAACUCUGUUAUUAGGGAAGAACAAAUGUGUAAGUAACUAUGCACGUAUUGACGGUACCUAAUGAGAAAGCCACGGCUAACUACGUG